UCAUUCAUUCAUUUCCACCGUUCAUGGAUCCAGUAAGCGUGUGGGGUAACACGCCCUUGGCGACGGUGGAUCCCGAGAUCCAUGACCUCAUCGAGAAGGAGAAGCGCCGUCAAUGCCGCGGAAUCGAGCUCAUCGCCUCCGAGAACUUCACCUCCUUCGCCGUCAUCGAGGCCCUCGGCAGCGCUCUCACGAACAAAUACUCCGAGGGCAUGCCGGGCAACCGCUACUACGGCGGCAAUGAAUACAUCGACCAGAUCGAAAACCUCUGCCGCUCACGCGCCCUCCAAGCCUUCCACCUCGACGCCCAAUCCUGGGGCGUCAACGUCCAGCCCUACUCCGGCUCCCCGGCCAACUUCGCCGCCUACACCGCCGUCCUCAACCCCCACGACCGCAUCAUGGGGCUAGAUCUCCCCUCCGGCGGCCACCUCACCCACGGCUACUACACCUCCGGCGGAAAGAAGAUCUCCGCCACCUCCAUUUACUUCGAGAGUCUCCCUUACAAGGUAAACUCCACCACCGGCUACAUCGACUACGACCGCUUGGAAGAAAAAGCCCUAGACUUCAGGCCAAAACUCAUAAUCUGCGGUGGCAGCGCGUACCCUCGCGAUUGGGA
rnacentral:lncRNA from 1 species